AAGGACUGAGUCUGCUGACAGGUUGGGGCCUCGGCUAGGAGAAGGGGGCAGAGAACCAGGUCACCUUCAAACCUGACCUUUUGGCCCGUGGGAGGUCACAUUGGCCAGAGCUGAGAGGAGAGGAGGGUGUCCAGACAGGCAACAGUGCCGAGGGCCUGGAGAAGAAGCGGCCUGGUCUGGACUGUGGCGCCACGGAGCCACUGAGCCACCCAGCGCGGCCCACAGCAGGGUCGGCGGCCUGCCCCGUCUCACUCCCCCACAGCGGAGCAAUCUACCCUGGUCUGCCGGAAUCGAAAACCCAUUCCCACCCCAGCUUUGGCUUUCUGCUCUCAGAUGGCGGGAAGCCUUAGGCAGGUGGCAGCUGUCAGAGCCCAGCAGACAGGCCUCACCAGCAGGCCCUCAGAAUGGAGCGGAUGAAAGGCCUGGCCAGCUUCAAGGCUUUCCCCGAGGAAACCCAGCCCACAGAUCCGCAGGGAGCCACACUCACAGGAGGACAGCCCGCUAAGCUUGGGAUCAAGUCCAGGUCACCAGUGCUCAGACAACCAAGGCCUCUGCCACUUGGAACAUAGAGUUCUGAGGCUUGGCAGGAGCCUGAGAGGAGCCGCCGGCCCUGAAAUCUGCUGGCUGCCGCCUGGCCCUGCACCUGGACCUGCACCUGGGAGUCCCCAGGCUGGCUGUCUGACCAGAUCCUGCUUGUCCCUGAUCAGAGGAAUGCAGCUGCUUUCCUGAGUCAACUUGUUCUGUGUCAAUCUUUCCUCUCAAAGCUUUUUCUCUUUCUACAUAAAACUUGCAGUGCUGCUGUGUUCCUGGACUAGGCACCUUGCUAUCCUCGAGAAUUUGAAGGGUCAUUUUUGUAAGUUAGUGUUGGCAAGAAAUUAGCUGAUGGGUCACUGCUGGACACCCGGGGUCCCUGUGGUCCAAAUACUACUUCAGAGCUGAUAUCUCAAUUGAAGAGCAUUUAUUGAGCACCUACUGUAUGCCAAGCCCUGUGCCAUGUACUGAGGGAAGUGUGAAUGGAGACUUCGUGCAUCUAGCCAGCACGUAGUGCUGAUGCGGGUGGGCCCUGGAGAAGGCUCAGAUACUUGACCUUGCAGAGCCAACAUCCCACUGCAUGGUGGAUGAGCUUCCUGCAGCCACUGUAACAGAUGAACACAGACUUGGUGUCCCAGAUGAAAGAGCCGAGGGGCGGCAGCAAACGAGAAUUUCCCAGCGUCACACAGACAGAAGCUGAGCUGGGACUUGGCCCAGCUGCCUCUAAGUCUAGAGCCUGGGUCCCUUUCACUUCCCCUGGUGGUGUGUCACAGCGGUCGGGCAGGUGUGGGGUUGAGCAUCAGCUCUGCUACCAGCUGCCUGACCCCAUGCCGGUGUUCCUCUGUCUCCCCACCUGGGAACCGGGCAUCAAAACAGUACUGUCUUGGGGUUGCUGUGAACAGGUGAUGGACUAUGAAGUUUGUGAAAUACUGAUCUCUGUGUAAAACACACACACAUUAACAUUAUAGAACACUGAUGAUAUACGUGAAACACUUCACACACACAGUUUUGUUGAACUCUCCCA